UAAGCUUUGGAAUUGAGAAUUCAAUUGGUAGAGGAGCAUUCUUAAAGGGACGAAGCAGUACCGAAAGGAGCUGUGGACUUUUAAGAAGAGAGAAUGCCGGAAUGAGUAGCGAGAGGAAGGUGGGAAUCCUUCCGGCCGAAUAUCUAAGGUUUCCAGAGUAAAGCUGAUCUGCUCUGGGUAAGUCGGGGCCUAAGGCGAGGUCGAAAGACGUAGUCGAUGGAUAACAGGUUGAAAUUCCUGUACUAUCCUGUAACAGAACUGUGGGGACACAGGCAGAGAGCGUGAGCCGGGAAUGGAAAGACCGGUACAAGCGAGGUAGGAGAAGAGUUGGCAAAUCCGCUCUUUAAUCUGAAGACGUGAUGUGGACUGAAAAUAAGUAGGGAAGCACGUGAGCUGACUGUCAAGAAAAGCCGCUAUUGUUUGCAGGAUACCCGUACCGUAAACCGACACAGGUGGAUGAGGAGAGAAUCCUAAGGCCGACGGGAGAAGCAUUGUUAAGGAACUCGGCAAAAUGACUCCGUAACUUCGGGAGAAGGAGUGCCAGUAAGAUGGCCGCAGAGAAUUGGCCCAAGCAACUGUUUAGCAAAAACACAGGUCUAUGCAAAACCGAAAGGUGAGGUAUAUGGGCUGACGCCUGCCCGGUGCUGGAAGGUUAAGGGGAGAGGUUAGCGCAAGCGAAGCUUUGAACUUAAGCCCCAGUAAACGGCGGCCGUAACAAUAACGGUCCUAAGGUAGCGAAAUUCCUUGUCGGGUAAGUUCCGACCCGCACGAAAGGCGUAAUGAUUUGGGCACUGUCUCAACAAUGCACCCGGUGAAAUUGAAAUACCAGUGAAGAUGCUGGUUACCUGCGCCAGGACGGAAAGACCCCAUGGAGCUUUACUCCAGCUUGAUACUGGGAUUCGGUAUUGCAUGUACAGGAUAGGUGGGAGGCUAGGAAAUGGUAACGCCAGUUGCCAUGGAGCCAAUGUUGGGAUACCACCCUUGCAGUACUGGGUUUCUAACCAGCAGCCGUGAUCCGGCUGGGGGACAAUGUCAGGUGGGGAGUUUGACUGGGGCGGUCGCCUCCGAAAGGGUAUCGGAGGCGCUCAAAGGUUCCCUCAGAAUGGUUGGAAACCAUUCGAAGAGUGCAAAGGCAGAAGGGAGCUUGACUGCGACACCGACGGGUGGAGCAGGUACGAAAGUAGGACUUAGUGAUCCGGUGGUAUAAAGUGGGAUUGCCAUCGCUCAACGGAUAAAAGCUACCCUGGGAUAACAGGCUUAUCACUCCCAAGAGUUCACAUCGACGGAGUGGUUUGGCACCUCGAUGUCGGCUCAUCGCAUCCUGGGGCUGAAGUAGGUCCCAAGGGUUGGGCUGUUCGCCCAUUAAAGCGGUACGCGAGCUGGGUUCAGAACGUCGUGAGACAGUUCGGUCCCUAUCCGGCGUGGGCGUAAGAUAUUUGAGAGGAGCUGUCCUUAGUACGAGAGGACCGGGAUGGACUGGCCGCUGGUGUAUCUGUUGUCUUACCAAAGGCAUAGCAGAGUAGCCAAGCCGGGAAGGGAUAAACGCUGAAGGCAUCUAAGCGUGAAGCCCCCCUCAAGAUGAGAUAUCUCAUAACGUCAAGUUAGUAAGACCCCUUGAAGACGACGAGGUAGAUAGGGCAGAGGUGGAAGUGUGGUAACACAUGGAGCUGACCGUUACUAAUAGGUCGAGGGCAUAACC
rnacentral:rRNA from 1 species